AUGAUGGAUCACCUGAGCCUGGUGCCCUACGAGGGAGGCAGCGGCGCCGGGGGCGACGCCGGGGCCAAGUACAAGGAGUGCAUGCGCAACCACGCCGCUGCCAUGGGCGGCCAGGCCUUCGACGGCUGCGGGGAGUACAUGCCGGCCUCGCCCGACUCGCUCAAGUGCGCCGCCUGCGGCUGCCACCGCAGCUUCCACCGCCGCGCGGGUAGCCUCGCGGGCGGGGCGUGCCCGGCGCCCUUCUUCUUCAGCCCGCCCCCGCCGCCGCCCCCCCACCAUCACCCGCCGCCGCACCACCCCGUGCUGCAGGGCUUCCUCCCGUCGGCGCCCCCGCGGCCGCCCCAGCUCGCGCUGCCGUACCACGCCGUGCCCGCCGCGUGGCACCACGCCCUGCUGGACCCCGCGCGCGCCGGCUCGGAGACGCCUCCCCGGGCGGACGACUGCAGCCCAGGGUGCGGGAGCGGGAGCUUCUCGAGGAAGCGGCACCGGACCAAGUUCACCCCGGAGCAGAAGGAGAGGAUGCGCGCCUUCGCCGAGAAGCAGGGGUGGCGCAUCAACCGCGACGACGGCGGCGCCCUCGAGCGCUUCUGCCUCGAGAUCGGCGUCAAGCGGAACGUCCUCAAGGUCUGGAUGCACAACCACAAGCACCAGCUCGCCUCGCCCACCUCCACCGCGGCCGGUAUGGGCAUGGGCAUGGGGAUGGGCAUCGGCAUCAACCCAGGAGUCCUCGGCACUGGCACUGGGACCGGCGCUGGCGCUGGCGCUGGCGUUGGCGUUGGAGCGGGCACCGGCGACGGAGACGGAGACGACGACGACACGGACGACGACUCGCCUCCACGCGCCGCCGUCUCAUCGCCCUCCCCCUCCCCCAUCAGCGUCUAG
rnacentral:rRNA from 1 species